CUCAUCAUCAAAUUGAGGAGGGAUUUCAACAGAUUAAAAUCCAUGCCCAAAAUAAUAAUGUUUUGAUGCCAAGAUUUUUUACAUAUUUUAACAGUUUUUGGCUCACUCGAAAAGGUCCAGAGUGCUUUUCAGUAUUCAAUCAACCGCGGCGCACCAAUAACAACGUUGAAUGUUUUCAUUCAAGUCUUAAACAGACUUUUCAGGUGACACACCCAAAUUUGUGGAGAAUGUUGGGUGAGUUUUUUUUACUAAUUUUUCAAAUUAAAAAAAAUAGUAAAAUGUGGAUAAAAAA